CAGUGCGAUAGGGGACUCCGAGUGCGAGGGCAUAUAGCCCUCCGCUUUUCUGUACCGUAAGGUGGUACAGGAACAAGGACUGGGCAAGACCGGUGCCAGCCGCCGCGGUAAUACCGGCAGUCCAAGUGAUGGCCGAUAUUAUUGGGCCUAAAGCGUCCGUAGCCGGCCGGACAAGUCCGUUGGGAAAUCGACGCGCUCAACGCGUCGGCGUCCAGCGGAAACUGUCCGGCUUGGGGCCGGAAGACUGAGGGGUACGUCCGGGGUAGGAGUGAAAUCCUGUAAUCCUGGACGGACCACCAAUGGGGAAACCACCUCAGGAAGACGGACCCGACGGUGAGGGACGAAAGCUAGGGUCUCGAACCGGAUUAGAUACCCGGGUAGUCCUAGCUGUAAACGAUGCUCGCUAGGUGUGCCGUAGGCUACGAGCCUGCGCUGCGCCCUAGGGAAGCCGAGAAGCGAGCCGCCUGGGAAGUACGUCUGCAAGGAUGAAACUUAAAGGAAUUGGCGGGGGAGCACCACAACCGGAGGAGCCUGCGGUUUAAUUGGACUCAACGCCGGACAUCUCACCGGUCCCGACAGUAGUAAUGACGGUCAGGUUGACGACUUUACCCGACGCUACUGAGAGGAGGUGCAUGGCCGCCGUCAGCUCGUACCGUGAGGCGUCCUGUUAAGUCAGGCAACGAGCGAGACCCGCACUUCUAGUUGCCAGCAAUACCCUUGAGGUAGUUGGGUACACUAGGAGGACUGCCGCUGCUAAAGCGGAGGAAGGAACGGGCAACGGUAGGUCAGUAUGCCCCGAAUGGACCGGGCAACACGCGGGCUACAAUGGCUCUGACAGUGGGAUGCAACGCCGAGAGGCGAAGCUAAUCUCCAAACGGAGUCGUAGUUCGGAUUGCGGGCUGAAACCCGCCCGCAUGAAGCUGGAUUCGGUAGUAAUCGCGUGUCAGAAGCGCGCGGUGAAUACGUCCCUGCUCCUUGCACACACCGCCCGUCAAAGCACCCGAGUGGGGUCCGGAUGAGGCCGUCAUGCGACGGUCGA
rnacentral:rRNA from 1 species